rnacentral:tRNA from 1 species
AGGCCGUUAGCUCAGAUGGUUAGUAGCACUCGACUCAUAAUCGAUUGGUCGUAGGUUCAAGUCCUACACGGCCCACCA